rnacentral:rRNA from 1 species
UAGAGUUUGAUCCUGGCUCAGGAUGAACGCUAGCGGCAGGCCUAACACAUGCAAGUCGAACGGUAAGGUCCAGCUUGCUGGACACACGAGUGGCGCACGGGUGAGUAACGCGUAUGCAACCUACCUCUGACAGGGGGAUAGCCCGAAGAAAUUCGGAUUAAUACCCCAUAAUACUGGCAUACUACCUGGUAUGCAAGUCAAAACUCCGGUGGUUAGAGAUGGGCGUGCGUGACAUUAGUUAGUUGGUGAGGUAACGGCUCACCAAGGCGACGAUGUCUAGGGGGCCUGAGAGGGUGGUCCCCCACACUGGUACUGAGACACGGACCAGACUCCUACGGGAGGCAGCAGUGAGGAAUAUUGCGCAAUGGAGGCAACUCUGACGCAGCCAUGCCGCGUGCAGGAUGACAGCCCUACGGGUUGUAAACUGCUUUUAUACAGGAAGAACUCUUCCGACGUGUCGGGAGUUGACUGUACUGUAAGAAUAAGCAUCGGCUAACUCCGUGCCAGCAGCCGCGGUAAUACGGAGGAUGCAAGCGUUAUCCGGAUUCAUUGGGUUUAAAGGGUGCGUAGGCGGGGAAAUAAGUCAGUGGUGAAAUCCUGCAGCUUAACUGUAGCACUGCCAUUGAUACUGUUUUUCUUGAGUUCGGUUGAGGUAGGCGGAAUGUGUAAUGUAGCGGUGAAAUGCUUAGAUAUUACACAGAACACCGAUUGCGUAGGCAGCUUACUAAGCCGAGACUGACGCUGAGGCACGAAAGCGUGGGGAGCAAACAGGAUUAGAUACCCUGGUAGUCCACGCUGUAAACUAUGAUCACUAGCUGUUGGCGAUACAAUGUUCAGCGGCAAAGCGAAAGCAUUAAGUGAUCCACCUGGGGAGUACGAUCGCAAGAUUGAAACUCAAAGGAAUUGACGGGGGCCCGCACAAGCGGUGGAACAUGUGGUUUAACUCGAUGAUACGCGAGGAACCUUACCUGGGCUUAAAUGCAAAUUGGCGUUUCGGGAAACCGGAAUUCCCUUCGGGGCAAUUUGCAAGGUGCUGCAUGG